AGGUUUGACCUCGGAU
rnacentral:rRNA from 1 species